rnacentral:rRNA from 1 species
GACAGAGGAUGCAAGCGUUAUCCGGAAUGAUUGGGCGUAAAGCGUCUGUAGGUGGCUUUUUAAGUCCGCCGUCAAAUCCCAGGGCUCAACCCUGGACAGGCGGUGGAAACUACCAAGCUGGGAGUACGGUAGGGGGCAGAGGGAAUUUCCGGUGGAGCGGUGAAAUGCGUAGAGAUCGGAAAGAACACCAACGGCGAAAAGCAACUCUGCUGGGCCGACACUGACACUGAGAGACGAAAGCUAGGGGGAGCGAAUGGG